UACGUAGGGGGCUAGCGUUGUCCGGAAUCAUUGGGCGUAAAGAGCGCGUAGGCGGCCAGAUAAGUCCGGUGUGAAAGCCACAGGCUCAACCUGUGAAUGCCGCUGGAAACUGUCUGGCUAGAGUCCGGAAGGGGCGAGUGGAAUUCCUGGUGUAGCGGUGAAAUGCGCAGAUAUCAGGAGGAACACCAGUGGCGAAGGCAGCUCGCUGGGACGGUACUGACGCUGAGGCGCGAAAGCGUGGGGAGCGAACAGG
rnacentral:rRNA from 1 species